UGGGGAAUAUUGCACAAUGGGCGCAAGCCUGAUGCAGCCAUGCCGCGUGUAUGAAGAAGGCCUUCGGGUUGUAAAGCACUUUCAGCGGGGAGGAAGGCGAUAAGGUUAAUAACCUCAUCGAUUGACGUUACCCGCAGAAGAAGCACCGGCUAACUCCGUGCCAGCAGCCGCGGUAAUACGGAGGGUGCAAGCGUUAAUCGGAAUUACUGGGCGUAAAGCGCACGCAGGCGGUCUGUCAAGUCGGAUGUGAAAUCCCCGGGCUUAACCUGGGAACUGCAUUCGAAACUGGCAGGCUAGAGUCUUGUAGAGGGGGGUAGAAUUCCAGGUGUAGCGGUGAAAUGCGUAGAGAUCUGGAGGAAUACCGGUGGCGAAGGCGGCCCCCUGGACGAAGACUGACGCUCAGGUGCGAAAGCGUGGGGAGCAAACAGG
rnacentral:rRNA from 1 species